AAUGUCGUAACAAGGUCUCCGUAGGUGAACCUGCGGAGGGAUCAUUACUGAUGAGGGCCCCUCGGGCUCGACCUCCCACCCUUUGUGAACACAACUUGUUCUUCGGGGGUCGACCCUGCCGUUUGCGCGGCGAAGGCCCCCGGGCAGGCCUUCAAAUCACUGCAUCAUUGCGUCGGAGUUUAAGCAAAUUAACAAAG
rnacentral:misc_RNA from 1 species